rnacentral:lncRNA from 1 species
GAAGGACUGCCCCAGCUGCUCCAGGACACAGGAACGCGGUCCACGGGGACGAAUUCAAGCCACACAUCAGCUGUGCCCCUCUGCAGGACUAGCAGGCACAUGUUGAGAGCACAAUGAAGUAAUCAUCAGACCUGGUGACACCAACUAGAUGGCUGCCUGCACCAUUAUGGAUCCAAGAUGGCAACAGAUAUUGCACUGCCCUGACCCCCAUGCUGACGGCUAUAACAAGAUCUCCCCAUCUCAGGCAGAACACGAUUUACUGUCACGUCUACUUCCCAGCGAGCACCGGUGGCUGCGUCUUUUGCUGUUGGCACAGCGUGGCCCGGUUACCAAGAAAGAGCCCUCCGGACCCGUCUGCCAGCAUCGCGUUAUUUUACCUAUAUAGGUCUAUGUGACUUUCUUGUAACGCAGACUUGCUCUCUCGUGUCUCUGGUUUACUCACUUGGGUUUCUGCUGAGCUACAUGUGUGAGUUGCCAAGCAAGUCACUUAGUCAUGUCAUGUCAAGUAGUCAUGUAGUCACGUCAAGAAUGUGUUCCACCGAAGUGUGGAUGAGUGACCCGUUGUAAGUAGUGUAUCUAGCAGUGUAAGUCACCGCGGUGAAUAAGGUGUGUGGGCUGAUAACACCCCAUAGAGUUCAUUGGAAGUCGCUUUGGACAAAAGCGUCUGCUAAAUAUGUAAAUGUAAAAAAAUUAUGUGAGGAAUAGUCAAUCAGUAAUUCAGUUUCUCUGUAUGAAACUCUGCGCAGUACCACACACACACACACACAUUUUCAGAACCGCUUGUCCCUUACGGGGUCACGGGGAACCGGAGCCUACCCGGCAACACAGGGCGUAAGGCCGGAGAGGGAAGGGGACACACCCAGGACGGGACGCCAGUCCGUCACAAGGCACCCCAAGCGGGACUUGAACCCCAGACCCACCGGAGAGUAGGACUGCGGUCCAACCCACUGCGCCACCGCACCCC